GUGUCAGCAGCCGCGGUAACACGUAGGGGGCGAGCGUUGUCCGGAUUUAUUGGGCGUAAAGAGCUCGUAGGCGGCUCGGUAAGUGAGGUGUGAAAACUCCAGGCUCAACCUGGAGACGCCACCUCAUACUGCCGUGGCUAGAGUCCGGUAGGGGAGCAUGGAAUUCCUGGUGUAGCGGUGAAAUGCGCAGAUAUCAGGAGGAACACCAGUGGCGAAGGCGGUGCUCUGGGCCGGAACUGACGCUGAGGAGCGAAAGCGUGGGGAGCAAACAGGAUUAGAAACCCUUGUAGUCC
rnacentral:rRNA from 1 species